GACGAACGCUGGCGGCGUGCUUAACACAUGCAAGUCGAACGAGGUCCAUGAAGUAGCAAUACUUCGGAAGACCUAGUGGCGAACGGGUGCGUAACACGUGAGGAACUUGUCCCGGUCUCUGGGAUAACAGUUGGAAACGACUGCUAAUACCGGAUGACGUCGGAGCGUCGCAUGGCGCGCUGACGAAAGGGUUACCGGAUCGGGAGAGCCUCGCGGCCUAUCAGCUUGUUGGCGGGGUAAUGGCCCACCAAGGCACCGACGGGUAGCUGGUCUGAGAGGAUGAUCAGCCACACUGGGACUGAGACACGGCCCAGACUCCUACGGGAGGCAGCAGUGGGGAAUCUUGCGCAAUGGGCGAAAGCCUGACGCAGCAACGCCGCGUGCGGGAAGAAGGCUCUCGGGUUGUAAACCGCUUUCAGCAGGAACGAAAAUGACGGUACUUGCAGAAGAAGGUGCGCCCAACUACGUGCCAGCCGCCGCAGUAAGAC
rnacentral:rRNA from 1 species